UCACCAUUCUAAUUAAUCAUCUCCUGAUUUUCCAAAACGUAAAGCGGGGUUUCCAUUAAGUUCAUCAUUCACCCCCUUAGCCCACUCCUUGACAUAACACGUACGACUACGAUGUAGAAUCAUAGGAGAUCAAUGAAAUAUCCUUACUUGUAAACAUAACAGGAGAAUGAAUUAUUAUUGAUCUGUGGGGAAAAAAAGUAGUGUUGUGCCGUGUCAUCGCAAUACGUAGAGACACGACGACUGGGGGUACAGUGUGUAAUGGAAAUGAGGUUUCCCCCCCGUUAUAUCAAAUCCUGGAAGCAUAAAUCACACGGAGACAGAACGCGACGAUGUUGUCAACGUUCGGGUGCAGCGACAUAUUGGGACUUUUUUGGAUAUGCAGAUAUGUAAAAAAAAAUAAUUAAAUAAAAGAAUAAAUAAAAUGAAUAAAAUAAAGAUCAUUACGAAC